rnacentral:SRP_RNA from 1 species
GAGCUGGGUCCUGCGCAACGGGAACCCAUGAACCUGGUCAGGUCCGGAAGGAAGCAGCCAUAAGUGGAUCCUUCCGUGUGCCGCAGGGCAGCCUGGCUUGAGC